AUUGAACGCUGGCGGCAUGCUUUACACAUGCAAGUCGAACGGUAACAGGCCGCAAGGUGCUGACGAGUGGCGAACGGGUGAGUAAUGCAUCGGAACGUGCCCAGUCGUGGGGGAUAACGCAGCGAAAGCUGUGCUAAUACCGCAUACGAUCUAUGGAUGAAAGCGGGGGACCGUAAGGCCUCGCGCGAUUGGAGCGGCCGAUGUCAGAUUAGGUAGGUGGUGGGGUAAAGGCCUACCAAGCCGACGAUCUGUAGCUGGUUUGAGAGGACGACCAGCCACACUGGGACUGAGACACGGCCCAGAACCCUACGGGGGGCAGCAGUGGGGAAUUUUGGACAAUGGGCGCAAGCCUGAUCCAGCAAUGCCGCGUGCAGGAAGAAGGCCUUCGGGUUGUAAGCUGCUUUUGUACGGAACGGAACGGGCUGGGUUUAUACCCUGGGCUAAUGACGGUACCGUAAGAAUAAGCACCGGCUAACUACGUGCCAGCCGCCGCCGUAAAAC
rnacentral:rRNA from 1 species